UGACCCGGAUGGAAAUUUCUGGCUUCUGGUUUCAGCCUGGCCCAGCCCUGACUCCCUGGCUCCCUCUCCCUCACGCUCUGCCUUUCAAAUAAAUAAACAAAUCACUUUAGAAAAAGUUACCUGAGCUUCAUGAUGUGAUAUGAUACACUAAAAAAUACACAAAAUUACUUAGGUUGUAUAGCUAUCAGAAUGCAUAGCCACAGCCAGUGGUGUGGUGUGGUGGGAUAAGCUGCCACCCAGCACCCCUUAGCAGACCGCUGGUUGGAGUCCCAGCUGCUCCAUUUCCGAUACAGCUUCCUGGAAAUGUGACUAAAAAGGCAGCAGAAGGUGCCACAAGUACUGGGCCCUGCCACUCACAUGAGGCCCAGAUGGAGCUCCUGGCUCCUGGCUUUGGCCUGGCCCAGCCCUGGCUGUGGUGACCUUUGGGGAGUGAACUAGUAGAUGGAAGAUCCAUUCUCUCUCUCUCUCUCGCUCGCUCUCCAUUUCAAAUAGCUUAAUCUUGAAAGAGCUGCGUGUCCCUGUUCCCAAAGCCAAAUGCAUGGGGUCAGCCACCUGCUGUCGUUAACUGGGGCUGGAAUUUAAAAAUCCAGCAUCACUUUACGGCUUCUGCCAACUUUGUUGGGAAAGCGGCUUAGCAGCUGACAGCUACGCUUUCCCCACCUGUAAAAUGGACACAAUGCUACUGCUCACGUCAUGAAGCCCAUGAGGAUACUGGUGCCCCAGCCCCCAUGCAGCACUCACUGAGCACAUGGAAAACACCCCUGGGGCCCCCAGUCCCGAUCUCGUGUUUGUUCUCUUCUGUUCUCUCGUGUCCCUUUCUCAUCCUGGCUCACCAACCACCUGCCUUCGUAGAGGCCUCCACUGUGUGGGGGUGGGGCAGGGAACAGGCUUUACCUGGCACAUGACUUGCAGUAGAUCCCCCUCCCUCCAAGACACAUAUGCAGCCCAAGUCAGACUAUGUCUCUUACAUGAUGCGGAGGAGGCCUCCCGGUCAGCCUCCCCCUCCCACCUCCCAGAGGAGAAAAAAGAAGCCAGAUGAAAGUUAUUCCAGUUUGUGGUACGAUAUGCUAAGAUCCGGGCUGUAUGAGAUUCCAUAAGGUGCAAUCGGGUCAUACCAAUAGCAGCAGCCAUAACAAUGCUCACCGAGGUGCUCACGGUGAGACAGCAGUGAUGAUCACUCCUGUUUUAUAGAUGAGAAAACAGGGGUUUGGAGAGGGUGAGUACUUGGUAUUGAGGUUUUCUCAAGAAAAGAGGCACUUGGCUUGGCUUGAAGGAUG
rnacentral:lncRNA from 1 species